UACGUAGGGUGCGAGCGUUGUCCGGAUUUAUUGGGCGUAAAGAGCUCGUAGGCGGUUUGGUAAGUUGGAUGUGAAAUCUCCAGGCUCAACUUGGAGGGGUCAUUCGAUACUGCCAUGACUAGAGUUCGGUAGGGGAGUGUGGAAUUCCUGGUGGAGCGGUGAAAUGCGCAGAUAUCAGGAGGAACACCGAUGGCGAAGGCAGAUCUCUGGGCCGUAACUGACGCUGAGGAGCCGAAAGCAUGGGGAGCGAACAGG
rnacentral:rRNA from 1 species